UCGGAUUUAUUUUUGUCCCAUUUCUUUCAUCCGGUUUUUUUCGUAGGUUUUUUUGUUCCGUCCACCACCUCUGCUCCGCUGGUUUUACCGUCGCGAGAGAAUCAAUCCCUCGCUAGCCUGGCCUCGUCUCCCGUCUCCAGUCGCAGCCGCCGCCGCACCCCAAUCCAACCCCGCCGCCAGCGAUCUCCUCGCCCCCCUGCGCCGCCGCCCCCAACCUUCUAUUCCUCUCCCAAGGGAAUCCCUAGGGAAGGGAAGGGAAGGCAAGGCAAGGGAAGGUAAGGGAAGGGAGAGGGAGCGCCCAGAUCCACGACGGCAUCUGCACUUCGCCCCCGCCGCUGCAUCCCUUCGCCGGUGCCCUCCCAGUUCAAAGCCGCCACCGCUUUGCUUCACGAACCGGCGACGAUCUACUUGUGGAGUCGCACGAUGAUCCCUUCCCGGAUCCGCCGCCGAUCACUUUCAGGAUCCGCCGCGGAUCACUUCCAGGAUCCGCCGCGUACCGCCUACAGGAUCCGCCGCCAAUCACUUCAAGGUUUCGCCACGUACCGCCUAUAGGAUCCGCCCGUUCGUGCUAUGGCUCCCUUUCCCUCUCCGCCAAAUCUGACCUUUGUGUAUGUGUUGCGCUGUGUGCGUGUGUGCUCUGCGUUAGUGAUGGGAUGGGCAUGCUCUGUGUGUGGCUUUCUAGUUUAGCUUGUGUGCGUGCGUGUUCUCCGCCGAUUGAUGCUUGUAUGAACUCAGCGUGUUUGUGUGCGUGCUGCUUGCUGCUUGCUGGCUGCCGAUGGAUGCUUGUUGCGUGUGCAUGCAUGUGUGUGGUGUUUGCUGGAUCAAGCAACAACGACACAUGUUGUUUUCUAAUUUUGGUGCGUGCAUAUAUCAUGCGAACAGGAGGCAUUAGAGACAGCUUAUUGAGAUGUAAUAACCAAGUAACACUGAAGAGACAAAAAAUACGUAUUAUUAUGCAACAGCUAAUUUCCUUAUCAUGUACUGUUUAUAGACAACCAUUGCUUGGUUAUGCGCUUCUUUUCUAUUGGUUGAUUAUGGACUACAUCACUCACUUCUAAAUUACAAACUGGAUAUCAUGUUCAACAUAAGAUCCCAUGUUCAAAUUUAUAGCUGGUUCAUCCACUUUUUAAUGUUAAUUGGUGAUAAGAGCAGCCUCACAGUUCAAGACACAUCAUAUAAUUAUUCUGUAUGAACUACCCUAGACUAAUCAUAUGUACACUUGCAGGGGCAGCUAGCUUUGCUGAUGCAUAUGCCGACAUGAUAAACAAGAUAUGCAUGCAUAUUUUAAUUUUAUUUGGAGAUAAGAUAUAUAUGCAAUACUAAUUGCUAAGUCGAGGAAGCAAGGUGUGUAGGUUCUCCUUGAUACUGUUUUUUUCCCUACAUUGUCGCACACUUGAAAAACAAUCCUUGCGUUUAGCCAAUAGUGUGUAGCUUCUCCUCGAUACUGAUUCUCAUACUUGCAGUGUUGGAUACUUUGCUUAACAUGAAACUGGAACAUGAAACACUGAUGCAGGUUUCAUGAUGGAACUGGAAAGGCCCUUCUGAAGAGAUCGGGACAAAGGAGUUCUGAAGAAGAAGAUUCAUCUACAGAAUAUAUAAUGUGCAUUGAAGAAAACAGAGAUUCAUCUUGGUGAGCACUAACCGUUCAUUUAUAGAUUGUUGGAGAGAUAAGUUGCUCCUAUGACUAAAAUUGUGCCGGCGCUCUGAUUUACUACUGGGUGCCCUUUAAAGGACAGACCCAGUGCAUAGAAGCUCCCACACAAGGUGGGGUCUGGGGAGGGAUUAUAGGAACCUAGUCUUACCCCUACAAAGUGCAAUGCAGAGAGGCUGGUUCGAACCCAGGACCUCUUGGCACAAGUGGGGAGGACUUCACCAUUGCGCUAGGCCUGCCCUCUACUGGGUGCCCUUUGUAGAGGUAAAUUUUAUUAUUAUUUUGGUCGUGUACGUGGGGGGGGGGGGGGGUCUUGAUUGAUUCACUAACUAUUCUAGCUUUGACGUUGUAUGUCAUCAGCUUGGGUUUGUUCCAUCAGACUUUUCACACAUUAUAUGACUUCGUUAGAAUUCAGGUUGCGUUCUAUCUUUUACUUUAAAAAAUAGCCACAUAGAGAGGAACUCAUUGGCUCCCCGGCACCAUCGAGCACUGAGGUUGACCAAACAAGUGUGUGAACAUUUAUGAGAUUUGUAAUUUGAAAACUAUAUAAAGCCAAAUAACUAUGAACACACCCUUGAAAUAAAUGUGAAAGGAGAAUCUGCGGUCUUACUAGAAAAAAUUGAAACAUUAGCUAGGAUUUGUUGGUUAGAUUCAUGUUGCUCCAUCCAUUUACUAUCAGUUCCUUUCAUAUAUUGCUUCCAUCAGAACAUGUUGACCUGAUUGUCCAUGGUUACACUCAUCUUCAAAUGGCAGAACUUGUUUUGCUGCCACAUCUUCUCUUACCAUACGAUGAAUAGGUACUAUGUUCCAUCCCUCUCUUAUUUCACACUGCAUUAACAAUGUUUUUUCAGUGUGUCGAUUUGCCUAACUAUGCCUUAUUGAUUACUGAUUUUGUUACUAAUGUGUACACAAACGCUGCCUAAUUAAUUUAGUCCACUAUAUCUAACCAUAUGAAAAGUGAAAGUUGAUUCUGACUACUUGCCUGGUGGUGCGGUACAUUACCUCUUUUUUCAAAUUAUGAGAGCGGAACGACAGCGUUGGCGUGGACGACUCGGAGCUCAACCCCGUCAAGGGCCGCGAGCAGGAGCGGCUUUCUUUUCAACAAGAAGAUGACCAAGGUCCAAGGGCGCCGCCAGCCACUUUGUCGUUGUCAUCGAAGAGUCCAAGAUUGUCCCCGCAUCGGUUGCAUUGGUGCCGAUCAGGUGCUAAUCUGAAUCCUUGUCCAAUUGCAAGUGGCCUAUAAAAAACCCUGGGUUGAAUGCACAUUACCGUCACACUGCCAUGUAAUUUUUGUUGGUACACAAUCAUGUUGCUGCAGUUCUAUUUAUAGACUUUUUGGUCAUUUUGUCUUUGUCUUUGUCCAUGGUCAGAUCAUGUUUUUAAGCUUGAUUGUUAUGAGUCAGUAAGGUGAGAAUGAGCGGUAAUGGUUUAACUAAUCAUCCCAUCAUGUUUUUAGUAUCACUAAUUUAUUUAUGCUAAUUCUUUCAACAUUCUUGCCUUUGAUGAUUCUAAAAGGUAAAGAGAAAUGUUAAAGAAUUCAUCUUCUGCUAUGGCACACAACCCCGCCUGCUCCGUGGAUGUCUACGCAAUCAUCGUCCUUAACCGCUAUCUAGCGUCUGUGACCUCUGUUGGCCUCAUCAUGGUUCCUUGACCCUCCAGCUGCUCACGUGCUUCUCUGUUCGUCGCAGGUCCAGGUCUGCGCGGUUGGGGCGUCAAUCACGUGUUCAGCGACAUGUCAGAGCAACUCUCUGGCCAGAACCCUGACUAUGUGCGCUUCAGGUAAUGCAAUCUGCCAGAUAUGUAUGUUCACGUUUGUCAGUUGGGUUACACUAGGACCAGGGCAUGUGCACCAGAAUUUUCCUGCCCAUGUGGUUGCCGGUCUUCUGGAUUGGUUUGGCUGCUAUAAAAAAAGUAGAACCAGUUCCACCAAAAUCGAUACUAGGCUACUAGCAGUACCAUUGUCUUUGUCAAUUUUGUACCUGCCAUAGUAAGAUGACCCCUAUUCUUAAGAAUACAUAAUAGAUGAUAUUGUAGUGGUAUGAGAUUAGCUUUUACUUCUUUCCAUUGAUUGCUACAGAUUUUGGAAGAACACUGUUGUCCACGUUAUAUCAUACACUUCCAAAUUAUAAAGCAUUCUUGUUGUAUGUAAGUUACCUAUUAUCCACAGUGUACAAGUAGUGGUUCAGAACUACAGAGAGAAGUCUAAGAUAUUCAUCGUUAUUUCUCCAGUAAGAUAUCCCCCUUCGUUAAUACUGCCCUAUUCCUUUUCCCUUUUUCAUGAAAGUAGGAGUGAUGAAGAACUGAAACAUAGUUACAGUGGGCGUUUUUAUAGGAACAAACUGAAGAACUUGACAUUAACAUAAUUGUAGUACUAAUUCAGGUGUCCCAGGUUUUAUUACCACUAGAACAUGUUGACCUAAUUGUCCAUGGUUACACUCAUUUUCAAAUGGCACAACUUGUCUUGUUGCCACAUCUUCAAAAUCGUUAAUAGGCUACUAGCAGUACCAUUGUACUCCCUCUAUUCCGAAUUACUUGUCGCAGGUAUGGAUGUAUCUAGAUGUAUUUUAGUUCUAGAUACAUCCAUUUCUGCGACGAGUAAUUUGGAACGGAGGGAGUAUUUGUCAAUUUUGUACCUGGCAAAGUAAGAUGACCCCUAUUUUGAAGAAUACAUACCUGAGAAUAUUGUAGUGUUAGGAGAUUAGCUUUUACUUUUUUCCAUUGAUUGCUAUAGAUUUUGAGAGAACACUAUUGUCCAUGUUAUAUCGUAUACUUCCAAAUUAUAAAGAGUUCUUGUUAUAUGUAAGUUCCCUAUUAUCCACACAAUCCAAGCAGUGGUUCAGCACUACAGAGAAAGAAAGCACCAAUAACUUGUUUUUUCAUUUCUUUUUGGUGAUAAAACUGGAUUUUGCUUUUCCAUGAUCAUGUGUUGAUGCCUUUGUCUCUAUCAAAUAUUAGGGGUAAUGAAUUUUCCUGUGCUGGAUCAACAUGCAGAUCCUGCCCACCUUGAAGUCAUAAAUCCAGUGAAGUCAAUUUCAGUAUAUUCAGGACAUAGCCAGUAGCUUAGCAAUUUCCACGAGUAUGUUUUGUUUACAAUAAAGUUGUGUGCAAAAUGUAUAUGCUACAUUAUGCAUGAUUCUCUCUUUUAUCAAAGUAUAUCCAUGUGUUUA